UACGUAGGGUGCGAGCGUUAAUCGGAAUUACUGGGCGUAAAGUGUGCGCAGGCGGCCGAGCAUGUCGAGUGUGAAAGCCCCGGGCUUAACCUAGGAACUGCGCUCGAAACUACUUGGCUGGAGUGUGGCAGAGGAAGGUGGAAUUCCACGUGUAGCGGUGAAAUGCGUAGAGAUGUGGAGGAACACCGAUGGCGAAGGCAGCCUUCUGGGCCAACACUGACGCUCAUGCACGAAAGCGUGGGGAGCAAACAGG
rnacentral:rRNA from 1 species